rnacentral:rRNA from 1 species
UACGGAGGGGGCCAGCGCUGUUCGGAAUUACUGGGCGUAAAGCGCACGUAGGCGGACUUGUAAGUUGGGGGUGAAAUCCCGGGGCUCAAUCCCGGAAUUGCCUUCAAGACUGAAAGUCUGAAGGUCAGGAGAGGCGAGCGGAAUUCCGAGUGUAGAGGUCAAAUUAGUAGAUAGUCGGAGGAACACCAGUGGCGAAGGCGGCUCGCUGGACUGAUAUUGACGCUGAGGUGCGAAAGCGUGGGGAGCAAACAGG